UACGAAGGGGGCUAGCGUUGCUCGGAAUCACUGGGCGUAAAGGGCGCGUAGGCGGUUCGUACAGUCAGACGUGAAAUUCCUGGGCUCAACCUGGGGGCUGCGUUUGAUACGUGCGGACUUGAGUGCGGAAGAGGGUCGUGGAAUUCCCAGUGUAGAGGUGAAAUUCGUAGAUAUUGGGAAGAACACCAGUGGCGAAGGCGGCUCACUGGCCCGAUACUGACGCUGAGGCACGAAAGCGUGGGGAGCAAACAGG
rnacentral:rRNA from 1 species